CCUACGGGAGGCAGCAGUAGGGAAUCUUCCGCAAUGGACGAAAGUCUGACGGAGCAACGCCGCGUGAGUGAUGAAGGUUUUCGGAUCGUAAAGCUCUGUUGUUAGGGAAGAACAAGUGCGAGAGUAACUGCUCGCACCUUGACGGUACCUAACCAGAAAGCCACGGCUAACUACGUGCCAGCAGCCGCGGUAAUACGUAGGUGGCAAGCGUUGUCCGGAAUUAUUGGGCGUAAAGGGCUCGCAGGCGGUUUCUUAAGUCUGAUGUGAAAGCCCCCGGCUCAACCGGGGAGGGUCAUUGGAAACUGGGAAACUUGAGUGCAGAAGAGGAGAGUGGAAUUCCACGUGUAGCGGUGAAAUGCGUAGAGAUGUGGAGGAACACCAGUGGCGAAGGCGACUCUCUGGUCUGUAACUGACGCUGAGAGCGAAGC
rnacentral:rRNA from 1 species